rnacentral:lncRNA from 1 species
CAGCUGACAGACAGCAUCUGCUUCUUUCACCUUUAUCUUUGAGACACUGAACCAACAGAGUAACAACAUGUGCAGGCUGAUUCUGACUGCAGGUAAGAAAAACUGAUCAAGUACAUGCUUCAUUAAGGGGUUCACUAAACUCCAAAAUCUCCUAUUCCCCUUUAAUGGGAUCCAUUUAAGUUUGUUCAACCUGUGGCAAUGAGCACAAUGCUCCCUCUGUCACACUACAGAUAGUAGAAAGGGAUUCUGGGCAAACAGUGCCUUGCUUAAAAAGAAGUAAUUAACUAACACGGACAGGUCUAGAGUUUGACAAGAAUGCUGGGGACAUUUCUGUGCAUAGAAACAAUGCUGUUGCUUAACUUCUAACAUGUACAAUUAACAUGUAAAAUGAAUAUUCCAUUUAAUUCCAGCAUGUCAUUUCUUAGUGUUCAUUGUCAUGUCUUUUCAAGCCAACACUGACCAAGUCUUUCUCUUUGAAGGUCUCUGUUUGAUCAUCGCCAGCCUGGUUUCUUGUGACCAGGCAAACAAACCUGGUUACCAAUCUGGUGCAUCUGGUUACCAAUCUGGUGCAUCCAGUGGAAAUUUCUGUAAUGGAAAGGGCAAUGGGCUUUACGCCUACCCACCUGACCCACAGCGUUUCUACCAGUGUUCCAAUGGGAACACCUUCAUCCUGACCUGCCCAGCAUCUCUGGUCUUCAGCGCAAUCUCCGGAGUCUGUGACUGGCCCAGUGCCACGGGAACUUUCUGCAUUGGAAAGGUGGAUGGGAAUUACGUCAACCCAAGUAACCCCAAUAGUUUUUACAUGUGUAGCAACGGCAGGACCGUCGUCCAAGACUGCCAAAAAGGUUUGAUCUACAAAUUGAGCUGCAACUGCUGUAACUAUCCCUAAAGUGUUGCACAUGACCAUUUUCCAAGCCCUCAUAGGCCUUUCCUACUUCUCAUGAUUCUUUAUGGUUAUGUUACAAAAAAAAAAGUUAGCAAUGGCUCUGCUUCAAGAUUUGUCAAAUCAAUUUGAAAACCCAAUUUUCCCCGACUAUCUGAAUGAUGGAAACGUACUGAACAUGUCUUCGUUCUGUUCUCAGCCAUGAUUCGACCUGCCUUGUCUUACUUAUUAAUAGGAUUGCUGCAUAAACAUUGUCAUUGGUAGUGAUCCUAUUAUAUGGUUUUGAUCUGUUCUCUAGUUGCUUCAUACGUAGCCCUUGCAUCGCUGUAUUUCCUCCACAUUAUGAUGCACUUAUUGUAUGUUGCACUAAGUGCUUAUAUAUUUUAAAUCUAACCUCAAUCUCUACUGAUUUGUAUACAUGCAUGAAUAAAUGAAUCAGAAUAAAAGACAAAUUCAAAGCGACCA